AAUUCAUAUCCCCUUCAUAUAUAAAGCUCUCACCCUCUCUUCCCUUCUCUCUCUUUGCUCAUUGUUUUCUCUCCCACAGAACAGAACGACACACAGACAAUCACAGACGAAGAAGAAGAAGAAGAAGGAAGAAGAAGGAAGAAGAGGAGGAAGAAGAACGAGGAGGAAGAAGAAGAAGAAGAAGAAGAAGAAGAGGACGACCCGUUAAAGGAUUGCUAAUUAUCCUAUUCCCCUCCUCCAUCAGGAUUCGGAGGCGAUCAGCUUGCGGCUCCUGUCGGAUGCUGCUUUCCGUCCCCGUGUUUGUCGCGUCUCCUGCGGUUAGAUCUGCUCCGUGAGGGUCCGUUUCUGUUCUGCUGGAGGCUCAUCGGUCGAGCUGCAGUUUGGGACUCUGGAGCAUGAUUUGGCGCUGAAGGGCUGCGGAGGGGGAGUGUGUUGGUUGCUCGCCGUAAAGGUCCCGAUUGUGUUGAUCUUCUGAAGAUGAAGAGGUCGAGGGAUGAGGUUUACAUGUCCUCUCAACCUAAGAGGCCUGUGGUUUCCUCCAGAGGAGAAGCGUCUGCGCAACCUCAGGCGGUAGGGGUUGGAAGCGCACAGAAGCUGACAACUAAUGAUGCUUUGGCGUAUCUUAAGGCUGUGAAAGACAUUUUCGAAGACAAGAGGGAAAAAUAUGAUGACUUUCUUGAAGUCAUGAAGGAUUUUAAGGCUCAAAGAAUUGACACUGCAGGUGUUAUAGCAAGGGUAAAGGAGUUAUUUAAAGGUCAUCGGGACCUGAUACUGGGGUUUAAUACCUUCCUCCCAAAAGGAUAUGAAAUAACUCUUCCUGAGGAUCCUCCACAGAAAAAGCAUGUUGAAUUUGAGGAAGCUAUAAAUUUUGUGAACAAGAUCAAGACGCGGUUUCAAGGUGAUGAUCGUGUUUAUAAAUCAUUUUUGGACAUUCUGAAUAUGUACAGAAAGGAAAAUAAGUCAAUCCAGCAGGUCUACCAGGAGGUUGCUGCACUUUUUAAAGACCACGUGGACCUGCUUGAGGAGUUCCGUCAUUUUCUACCUGAUAAUUCAUCAGCAACCUCUCCACUAUGUCAUCCUUCUGGUAGGAGUUCUCUGCUCCGUGAUAGGAGCUCUACCAUGCCCUCAAUUCGGCCAGUUCAAAUAGACAAGAAAGAAAGGGUUUCAGGUUUACAUGCUGACCAUGAUGUCAGUGUAGAUCGACCUGAUAUUGACCAUGAUCAAGCUCUAAUGAAAGCAGACAAGGAGUCGCGAAGACGCGGUGAUAGAGAAGAGAAGAGAAGAGAUGAUAGAGAUAGGAGAGAUCGGGAUCACGAUGAUAGAGACUGUGAGCAUGACAGCAAUAGGGACAUUAGCAAGCAACGGUUCCCUCAGAAGAGGCAAUCAUUCCGUCAAGGCGCUGAUCAAUUGCAUCAAGAUGGGGGAGAUGAUGAGAAUUUUGGAGCCCUUCGAGGUUCAUCAUCAUAUGAUGAUAAAAUUGCUGUUAAAAAUAUGUACAGUAAAGAGUUUGCAUUCUUUGACAAAGUGAAAGAGAGGUUACAUGAUAAUCACCAGGAAUUCUUGAAGUGUCUUCAUAUCUUUAGCCAGGGAAUAAUCACACGGCUAGAAUUGCAAAACUUGGUCAGCGAUCUACUGGGAAAAUAUCCAGAUUUGAUGGAUGGGUUAAAUGAGUUUCUAGCUCGCUGUGAUAAGAACGAAGGAUUCCUUGCCGAUUUUAUGAGUAAGAGACCAUUUCCCAAAUCGAUGAAGCCUGAGGAUAGGGAUAGAGACCACCUGGGUUAUGAAAAGGAUGAGAGAGCCAAGGACCGGGAACGUGACAACCGAGAAAGAGACAGACCAGAUAGAAGUGCAGCCCUUGCGAACAAAGAUCCAGGCCAUAAGAUGUAUAUUGGGAAGCCUAUUAAUGAACUAGACCUCUCUAACUGCGAGCGCUGCACUCCCAGUUAUCGUCUAUUGCCAAAGAAUUAUCCUAUUCCUCCAGUGAGUCAAAGAACAGAGCUUGGUGCUGAAGUGUUGAAUGACCAUUGGGUAUCUGUGACCUCUGGAAGUGAGGACUACUCGUUUAAGCACAUGCGGAAAAAUCAAUAUGAAGAGAGUCUGUUCCGUUGCGAAGAUGACAGGUUUGAAUUGGAUAUGUUGUUGGAGUCUGUAAAUGUAGCUACUAAACGGGUGGAAGAACUGCUGGAGAAGAUUAACAACGAUACGAUCAAAACUGAGAGUCCAAUUCAUAUUGAAGAGCACUUGACAGCGUUGAACUUAAGAUGCAUUGAACGUAUAUAUGGUGACCAUGGGCUUGAUGUGAUGGACGUCUUAAGAAAGAAUGCCCCUCUAGCUUUGCCAGUAAUAUUAACUCGUUUGAAGCAAAAACAGGAGGAGUGGGCGAGAUGUCGUGCAGAUUUCAACAAAGUUUGGGCUGAAAUUUAUGCAAAGAAUUAUCAUAAAUCCCUUGAUCAUCGGAGCUUCUACUUCAAGCAGCAGGACACGAAGAGUUUGAGCACAAAAGCCCUCUUGGCUGAGAUUAAAGAAAUUAGUGAGAAGAAGAGGAAGGAAGAUGAUGUGCUUUUAGCUAUUGCAGCUGGAAAUAGACCAACUGUGACUCCAGAUCUGGAAUUCGAGUAUGCUGACCCUGACAUCCAUGAAGAUCUAUAUCAGCUUAUUAAAUAUUCCUGUGCAGAAGUUUGUUCGACCGAACAAGUGGAUAAAGUGAUGAAGAUUUGGAACACCUUCUUGGAACCGAUGCUGGGUGUUCCUUCCCGGCCUCAGGGUGCAGAGGAUACCGAAGACGUCGUAAAGACCACUAAUACUCAAGCAGGCAAAGGCAGUCCUACAAGUAUUGGACAGAGUGAUGGGGGAGGCUCUAGUGCCUUGAACUCAAGACAGAUGACAAAUCCUUCUAAGAACCGGGAGCUUUCGCAGGAACAGUCAACGAAUUGCAGGAAUUGGUCGGUUAAUGGAGAGAAUGGAGAAUUGGAAGAUGGUUCUCAUAAUGCAGAUCAUACUUCUCGGAAAUCUCCUCCAUCAGCUAAGGCCCAAGGCUCUGCAGUAUUAACAGAUGAUACAUCAGGAGUCAGCAGACCAUCUAAUUCCACUGCUUCGCUUGUUGCUGUGGCAGAACAGAGUAAUGGGAGAACUGGCACUGAGAAUACUUCAGGGCUAAGUACGGGUCCUUCUAGACCAACAAAUGCUACUACCGAGUCUACAGUAGCAGAGAUGAGAACAAAUAAUGAAAAUUUACCAUCAUCAGAGGGUGGUGACUGUAUGAGAGCCAAUCCCACUGUUAAUGGGGCGAUCAAAGAUGGCAGAGGCCACAGAUAUAAUGAGUCGUCGGUGGGGCACUCUAAGGUGGAAAGAGAAGAAGGCGAAUUAUCACCUAAUGGAGAUUUCGAUGAAGAUAACUUUGCAGCCUAUGGACCUACCGGUCUAGAAGCUACAAAUAAAGCAAAGGACAGUGCUACGAGCAGGCAAUACCAAUCAGGUGGAGGAGAGAAUGAGGCUGAUCCCGAUGAUGGAGAUGAGAGCAAUCAGAGGUCCUCAGAGGACAGUUCUGAGAAUGGUGAUAUCUCUGCGAGUGAGUCUGGUGAUGGAGAGGAUAUCUCCCAUGAGGAGCAGGAAGAAGAUGCGGAUCACGAAGAUAACAAGGCUGAGAGUGAAGGUGAGGCUGAAGGGGUUGCGGAUGCUCAUGAUGGCGAAGGAGAUGGGACCGUGUUACCUGGUUCAGAGCGGUUUCUUUCGACUGUUAAGCCUCUUGCAAAGCGUGUUGCCUCGCCACCCUUGAAUGAUAAGGAGAGGGACUCUAGAAUUUUCUAUGGGAAUGAUUCAUUUUAUGUGCUUUUCAGGCUCCACCAGACACUCUAUGAGAGAAUACAAUCGGCAAAGAUAAAUUCCUCGUCUGCUGAGAGAAAAUGGAAGGCUUCAAGUGAUGCAAGUCCUGCUGAUUCCUAUGCCAGGUUUAUGACUGCUCUUUAUAACUUGCUCGAUGGCUCUUCUGACAAUACAAAGUUUGAGGACGACUGUCGGGCUAUUAUUGGGACUCAGUCCUACGUGCUAUUUACACUGGACAAGCUUAUAUACAAAUUGGUGAAACAGCUCCAAGCAGUUGCAACAGAUGAAAUGGACAACAAGCUGCUCCAGCUUUACGCGUAUGAGAAAUCAAGAAAACAUGGAAGAUUUAUUGAUGUAGUUUAUAAUGAAAAUGCCCGUGUUCUUCUUCAUGACGAGAACAUAUACCGCAUAGAAUGUACGACUUCCCCGUCCCGUUUGUCCAUACAACUUAUGGACGGUGGCCAUGAUAAGCCCGAAUUGACUGCUGUCUCCAUGGACCCAAAUUUCGCAUCCUAUCUCCACAAUGACUUCCUUUCUGUUGUUCCCGACAAGAAGGAGAAGCUUGGGAUUUUCUUGAAAAGGAAUAAGCGCAAAAUCAUCGGUACUGAUGAGAGCCAGGUUACCGAGGGACUUAAGGUGGUUAAUGGUCUCGAGUGUAAAAUCGCUUGCAAUUCAUCAAAGGUAUCCUAUGUAUUGGAUACCGAGGAUUUUUUAUUCCGGCAGAAAAAGAAAGAGAGAUCUGUUCUUGCAAACAGUGCAUGCCAUGACCAGGCGAAGUCUUUGGGUCGUGAAUCACGCAGACUGCAGAAGUUUCAGAGACUGCUCUCGGGCUCAUAAUCUCACCCUUAAUUCGACGUCUCUGUUUAAUAGUCGAUAACAAAUUUCUGUUACUGACAACAAAUCACCGACCCAACUGCGCCGGCUUAGACAUAUAUCCCUCGGAAUUCGGAGCAACGCCCGUCUCCUGUAGGCUUUACUGGGCAAACUGAAGUUUUUUUCCCUCAUGUCUGUUAUGCAGUAGCAAAAGUGCAAGAACUUUCAUUGGUAUUGUGGGGCUGGACAACGACAAACAUCAAAUGGAUGACGCCACUACAGGAAAACUAUCGUGGGGGAUCGUCUCUCAUAUUUGCUAUAUCGACCGGAGAAUAAGGCACCGAGCAACGGAAGGGAAAUGAAAAUGAAAAACAAAACAAAUUGGCUCCCCUGCUGAAAUCGACGCCGUUAACUCUGGGACAGGAGAGCAACAAUAUUACCUGACCGGUAAAGGGACUUGAGAACAACCAUAUUACCUUUUAUAUACGUCUCUUUUCGGGCAAGGCCGCUAGCAACGACGAUGGCCGUGGAGAUGCAGCUCAUGGCAGAAGCAGCACGUUGUAGCUGGCCGGGCAACGACUUCAAUUGACUCUACUGUGUGUGAAUUCAUUUGCUUUGGCCAAACAUACCAAAAAGAUUGUACUCACGUUAGUCAACAAAAUUCAAGAAUAUUUUACAUUUUUUUUUC